GGUAUGAAGAAAAUAAAACUCUAUUGACAGUUAUUGGGACUUUGGUUCUGUUCUCAUUGGGUGCUGCCACUAUUGUAAUAUGUAUUUGCUACAAAUUCAAAAAGUAUGCAGAAUUCAUCCUUCUCUACCUAUCUUUUUCAAUUAAAUCUGUAUUUAUUUUUAUACUUAUCUUAAUCAAAAAACAAUGAACUCAUUGAUCGAUUAUUUUCAUUUUUGCUAAUGAAGAAAAGAAGAAAUGCUCGAGAUGGAAAUGGCCAAAGCAACAGUUUUAACACAAUGUGUAAUCAAAAAAAUUAUAAUUGAAAAACACAACAGAGGAAAUGACAUUUUAGAUUUUCCCAGAGUAAAAAUAGAAGAGCGCAUGGUUACUCGUGCACUGGAUGACUAUCCUGAAACACACGCCAUCAGGAAAGGUUCAUUUUCAACAAUAGUUUAUGAAAUACCACCCGAUGAAGAUUAUGAUUUUCCUUUGAACAAUUUGGAACUCGGUGAAAUAAUUGGUAGCGGAGAAUUUGGGCAAGUUUUCAAAGCAAAAGCACAUGGUAUCUUGAAAACAAAUGUCACCACUGUUGUUGCUGUUAAAACGUUGAAAGCGGAACAUUCGGAUGCUGAUUUGCAAGAUUUAAUUACUGAAAUGGAGAUUAUGAAAAUGAUCGGCAAACAUGAAAACGUUCUCCACCUAUUGGGAAGUUGCACUGUUGGUGGAGUUGUACGAGUAAUCACAGAAUAUGCUGCUAAUGGGAAUUUGCUGAAUUACCUCAGAACCUACAACUGUCAAUUAAUUUCACUUGAUUCGAGUUAUGCACGAAGCAACCCUGGGGAAGAUCGUUUGAUUAGGUUUGCCUACGAAGUAGCUAAAGGAAUGGAGUUUUUAGCUUCC